CUUAGCUUGCUAAGGCUGAUGGCGACCGGCGCACGGGUGAGUAACACGUAUCCAACCUGCCGUCUACUCUUGGCCAGCCUUCUGAAAGGAAGAUUAAUCCAGGAUGGGAUCAUGAGUUCACAUGUCCGCAUGAUUAAAGGUAUUUUCCGGUAGACGAUGGGGAUGCGUUCCAUUAGAUAGUAGGCGGGGUAACGGCCCACCUAGUCAACGAUGGAUAGGGGUUCUGAGAGGAAGGUCCCCCACAUUGGAACUGAGACACGGUCCAAACUCCUACGGGAGGCAGCAGUGAGGAAUAUUGGUCAAUGGGCGAUAGCCUGAACCAGCCAAGUAGCGUGAAGGAUGACUGCCCUAUGGGUUGUAAACUUCUUUUAUAAAGGAAUAAAGUCGGGUAUGCAUACCCGUUUGCAUGUACCUUAUGAAUAAGGAUCGGCUAACUCCGUGCCAGCAGCCGCGGUAAUACGGAGGAUCCGAGCGUUAUCCGGAUUUAUUGGGUUUAAAGGGAGCGUAGAUGGAUGUUUAAGUCAGUUGUGAAAGUUUGCGGCUCAACCGUAAAAUUGCAGUUGAUACUGGAUGUCUUGAGUGCAGUUGAGGCAGGCGGAAUUCGUGGUGUAGCGGUGAAAUGCUUAGAUAUCACGAAGAACUCCGAUUGCGAAGGC
rnacentral:rRNA from 1 species